ACCAUCCCAACGAAAUUGACGGACCAAGUAACCAGCUGCCAAGUUCUUCAAGGUAACUAAAUGCUUUACAAGACUCUAAAUAGCCAAUGCGACUCUGUUUUUAAGACCUUUUGCACAUUUAUAAGACCCUGAUCAUGGACUUUUGGGGCCUUCAUUUUUGUUGGUGGUUCUGAAUUUGUGUAUCUACAGUUCUACAAAAUUGAUAUGACUGAUUGUUUUGUUACUUGGACAACCAGCUUUGCUGGUGUUUUUCAUAGAGCUUUGCUUAGCAGUGCUGCAACUCAUUAGUAGAUUCAGAGUUUCCAUUUACAUCAUCUGGGAUAUACUUGAUGCGAUUACAAGUCCUACCAAGUAGUGAAUAGUAUAACAUUUUAAUUUGGAAUCCCACCUAGCAGUAUUCUAGGUGCCUGCCAGUCAACUCAUCAUAUCAUAUGAGCCCAGAAACACCGACCAGAUCACACUUGUACUAAUUUUCUCAGUAUUUAAGCAAAUCAGGAAGAACAGAUCUUAUUGGCUAUAAGCGUGCUUUCUAGUACUUAUUAGCUGUGUUGCAACUUGCGAGCAAGUUGCGGGGUUUCUGUACAUACUUUGUGGUGCUAUGUGUCAUGCGAUUCUUGGUUCUAAUAAGUAUUGGCUAGUUCAUGUUCACGUUAUAAUCCUAUAAGAUUGGGCUAUAGUUGCGAAUGCAUCUCUGUGGCAAUUAAUGGAUUCUGUCUAAGGCUUUUGCUCUUUGGUGUCACCCUGCCAGUGCAUCACUUAGCAUAGUCUGCAUGUUAAGAUGCUCAAAGCGAAGGGCGCGAUAAGUGUUUCCUUUGCAUAUGAUUGGUUACUGAUGAUGAUACUGCCUCUGGAAUAAAUAGGUGGGAUCCUCAAGGGCCAUUCAAACCAUUGCAUUUGAUGAAUCCGACAAGACUAUCUUUUAUUCACUCCAUACUCUAUAGACAUUUCAGGUACACUUAAUGUAUCUUGCAUAUGGUUGCUUUUUUUGCAGGUUCGUGAAGAGAACUGAUCUGGUUUUGUGAAGGAAGGGCGAGAAAGAUUAUGUGGGGAUCAGAUUGUCCAUGGCGACCUAGGAGGAGCAGCACCAUCUCAGGUUGCUCCGAUAUGGUUGUGUGAAGGAACAUGCAAGGUCUGCUACUGUUGUUGUGCUCCCUUGAACGAUCUGGUGAAGGACAAUUUUCCAUUGGUCGUCCCCCCAUGCUAUCUCUCUCUGCUGCAUAGUUAGGUUCAGUUUUUUUUCUCUUUCUAGUUUAAGCGUAAGCAGAUUCCAGUAGGUCUCUAUGUAUGUGGAUCAUGAGUUAGAACAUCUAAUCUAAUUACGGACCGCAGACUUGCUAUGUCAUGAUCAAACUUGCUUGCAUUCAGUUCAGAAAAUUUCUGAAUUCUCUAGUGUUUGCUUUCACUCAAUGAUUGUGGUACUGGUAGUCAAAUUAGAUGCCUCCUUUGCUGUAAUUCACUCGUUUCCCUGUCAUGGUUUAUCUUGAAUUUUGGUAGUGUGACAAACACAUUAGCAAAUCUAAAUAACUUUGACAUAUUUGCUCUAUUAUCUUGCACUGGAUUGGCACCUUUCAUUACCCUGUACAAAUAUAUCUCAAUUCCGCUAACACUGAUCCUUGUGUAUGGUCUUAACCCUUUUGGUUGCAUGAUACUUCUAUAUCUGUAGCCUUUAAUGAAUUCAAUGUAUGAUUGUGAUGAGAAUUAUAUGAUACCUACCUGUUUUUAUCCUUGAUCAGUAUCAUUUAUGGUCUCUGUUCUUAUUACUUGUUGUACGUUUAGUGCCUAUACAUUGUUGUGUUUUGCAGGUCUAGUCCUUCGCUGUUAUAGUUUGAAACCACUUCAUAACUCAUAAUUUGUUUGUCAUGAUUUAUUGCUUAUGAAAAUUAUUACAAAUAUGUUGAAAAUUGCAUAGAAGAAUUUUGUGCCAUCUCUGCAACUGUGCUAGAUGUGAUGUUCCUGAAACUUAUUAUGGUAUCUGUACUGUCCUUAUGUUGCAACACUAUAGUUAUUAUUUCUCAUCCUUACGCAGACAAGAAAGCUAACUUUGCUCUAGCCUUCUCAUCCAAGAAUAGAAAUAAAUAAAGGUCGACACAUCUUUAAAAUGACAUGUCAAACUUAGUUUUUGAGGCUAUGUUGCAUUUGUAGUUCUUGCUCUGUUAAAUUUGAGGCUACGUUGCAUUUGUAGUUCUUGCUUUGUUAAAUCUGAGAUUGAUGAAAAUGGUAUAUAGAAAGCAAAAAAUUGUAGCCACAUAAUGAUGUUGUAUGGUACCCCCAACAAGUAAUAUGCUUGAAUCAAUUUGAUUUUUCCUGAUUAUAAUUAUCUUACAGUAUCGUGAUGUUGGUAGGUAUAUGCGAGUCCGGCAGUGCGGUGGCAGUCCCCGUGGAAUGAGCGCUGGACUACUCCCUUGGCCAGGCGUACUUGUGCAAGCACGAAUGGAGCGAAGACUUACUGUUGGUGUUGCCCGCCAAGUUCUCCAGCCCGUGGUGAACCGAGGCUAUCUCAAGUGCUUCGUUGGUUGGGUUGCGUUCUUUGCUGCUGGUCUCAUGAAUGGGGUACAUUUCUGAAACUGAACUAGCUUGAGUGCCUAUUUUCUUCUUAAGUUGUCAUUUUACCAAACAUUUGUUGAUUGUUGAAAUGUUAUAUUUAGUUCCUGAUUAAUGAUUUUCAUCAAUAAAUUGUUGGUCACACGAGUCAAGCUUGUGCUCAUAUUUAGCUAGUUUUGGAUGUAUGUUGAUCCAAAUGUCCAGAAAAAUAGAAGCUAACCAUGUCAAAAGUUAGAGCACUGUUGAUUGCUAUAUUAGGGCAGCGCUGACCAUGUGUUGUAGAAGGAAGUUAUUUUUCUUGAAGUAAGGGCAAGGAGGAGGCAACACGUUGGAAGCUGGAUGACCCAGGGAUGGAUAAUAUGUGUUGGUCUCGCCAUCUACCUGGCCCUUUUGUUGAUAAAUCCAUUGCGCAAUGGGUGACCGUGGAAGGGAUGGAAGUUCAUAUUGCUGUUUGUAAUGAAGGUCACAGCCUAAUCCUGACUAUGGUCGUCUAGUGAGUAUGGCAUAUGGUUCAUAUGACAGGAGCAUGUGCCCAGUUUGUGAUCGCUAUUGACAGGAGCUCCAUUCUGAAGAAGAUUGAAGACAAUUGUGGAGUUGUAAAUUACUGUAGCUAGCUAUCACACUUGUAGAGCUUGUAAUAUUGUGAUUCCAAUUGUAUUACGUGUUAUUGGUAGAGCAAGAGCUCCAUACUGAUUCUGGCUGUUAUUAUUUGAAGUAUUACAUGUGUUUUCUGUCUGUUUGAAUUUAAAUAUUUGUUAUUUGUUCACUGGCAUAUUGAAAUCUGAAGGACAUGACCUUGACAUGAGGGACCCACAAAAAAGAACCUGACAUUACGGACCCACUUACCAGAAUCUGAAAAAACAAGAAAACAAAGGCCAUGGCUCAAAAAUAAAAAGGCUAAAAUGUUGGGCUAUGCCCAUGUAGCUGACAAAAACUGAUAUAUAAAAUAUAAAUAGGCUGAAUUGAUGGGCUUGGCCCAUGCAGCUCAUGAAAAUUGACAAAAAACAUAAAUUGGCUGAAUUAAUGGGCUCGGCCCAUAUAAACACCGAAUUGGACCGGGCUGAUUCUUGUGCCACAUCAGAUUGCCACGUCGGAUGCCUACGUGGCCUCGGGAGGCUGCUAGUAACUAAAACAAAACAGUAGGCAUAUUUUAGUCGUAAACGUCUACGACCUUCUCACAGAGAAGGUCGUUAAUUUCAGUUUACGACUGCCAGCUUUUGACCAUCUGUUUUUGGUCAC